rnacentral:rRNA from 1 species
GCAGACUGGGACUGCGACACGGCCCAGACUCCUACGGGAGGCAGCAGCAAGGAAUUUUCCCCAAUGGGCGCACGCCUGAGGGAGCAACGCCGCGUGGAGGACGACGGCCUUCGGGUUGUAAACUCCUUUCGGGUGGGACGAAACUGACGGUACCACCAGAAGCAGCCCCGGCUAACUCUGUGCCAGCAGCCGCGGUAAGACAGAGGGGGCAAGCGUUGUCCGGAGUUACUGGGCGUAAAGGGCGCGGAGGCGGUCUGCUGCGUCGGCGCUGAAAGCGCCCCGCUUAACGGGGCGAGGCGCGCCGAUACGAGCAGGCUGGAGGCGAGCAGAGGGUGGUGGAAUUCCGGGUGGAGCGGUGAAAUGCGUAGAGAUCCGGAGGAACGCCGGUGGAGCAGUCGGCCACCUGGGCUCGACCUGACGCUGCGGCGCGACCGCGUGGGGAGCAAACCGGAUUAGAUACCCGGGUAGUCCACGCCGUAAACGAUGCCGGCUCGGCGUUUGGCGCGCGUGAGCGUGCUGGGCGC